rnacentral:rRNA from 1 species
CCUACGGGAGGCAGCAGUGGGGGAUAUUGCACAAUGGGGGGAACUCUGAUGCAGCGACGCCGCGUGGGUGAAGGAGUGCUUAGGCAUGUAAAGCCCUAUCGGCAGGGGAGUAGCACGACGGUACCUGACUAAGAUGCACCGGCUAACUACGUGCCAGCAGCCGCGGUACUACGUAGGGGGCGAGCGUUAUCCGGAUUCACUGGGUGUAAAGGGAGCGUAGACGGGCAUGCAAGCCAGGGGUGAAAGCCCGGGGCCCAACCCCGGGACUGCCCUUGGAACUGCAUGGCUGGAGUGCGGGAGGGGUAGGCGGAAUUCCUGGUGUAGCGGUGAAAUGCGUAGAUAUCAGGAGGAACACCGGCGGCGAAGGCAGCCUGCUGGACCGCGACUGACGUUGAGGCUCGAAAGCGUGGGGAGCGAACAGGAUUAGAUACCCUAGUAGUC